rnacentral:rRNA from 1 species
AGAGCGAACGCUGGCGGCGUGCUUAACACAUGCAAGUCGAACGCGCAGCAUUCUGUAGCAAUACAGGAUGUGGGCGCGUGGCGAACGGGUGCGUAACACGUGGAUAACCUUCCUUCAGGUGGGGAAUAACCCAGCGAAAGUUGGGCUAAUACCGCAUAAAAUUACGAGGGUACAUGCUCUUGUAUUCAAAGGCGCAAGUCGCCAGAAGAGGGAUCCGCGGCCGAUUAGCUUGUUGGCGAGGUAAUGGCUCACCAAGGCAAUGAUCGGUAGCCGGACUGAGAGGUUGGCCGGCCACACUGGAACUGAGACACGGUCCAGACUCCUACGGGAGGCAGCAGUGGGGAAUCUUGCGCAAUGGGGGAAACCCUGACGCAGCGACGCCGCGUGCGGGAUGAAGGCCUUCGGGUUGUAAACCGCUUUCAGCAGGGACGAAAUUGACGGUACCUGCAGAAGAAGGCCGGCCAACUACGUGCCAGCAGCCGC